rnacentral:rRNA from 1 species
CUACGGGGCGCAGCAGUGGGGAAUAUUGCACAAUGGGCGCAAGCCUGAUGCAGCCAUGCCGCGUGUAUGAAGAAGGCCUUCGGGUCGUAAAGUACUUUCAGCGGGGAGGAAGGGAGUAAAGUUAAUACCUUUGCUCAUUGACGUUACCCGCAGAAGAAGCACCGGCUAACUCCGUGCCAGCAGCCGCGGUAAUACGGAGGGUGCAAGCGUUAAUCGGAAUUACUGGGCGUAAAGCGCACGCAGGCGGUUUGUUAAGUCAGAUGUGAAAUCCCCGGGCUCAACCUGGGAACUGCAUCUGAUACUGGCAAGCUCGAGUCUCGUAGAGGGGGGUAGAAUUCCAGGUGUAGCGGUGAAAUGCGUAGAGAUCUGGAGGAAUACCGGUGGCGAAGGCGGCCCCCUGGACGAAGACUGACGCUCAGGUGCGAAAGCGUGGGGAGCAAACAGGAUUAGAUACCCGCGUAGUC